rnacentral:hammerhead_ribozyme from 1 species
AUUCAGCCGACGAGUCCCAAAUGGGGCGAAACGCGCGUCCUGGGU